CCAAAGGCUCUUUUCAGAGCCACCACGGCGUCCACGAAAGGACUG
rfam:Oryctolagus cuniculus unplaced genomic scaffold chrTn0049, whole genome shotgun sequence.